rnacentral:rRNA from 1 species
AGAGUUUGAUCCUGGCUCAGAUUGAACGCUGGCGGUAUGCUUAACACAUGCAAGUCGAACGGUAACAGCAUCUAGCUUGCUAGAUGGCUGACGAGUGGCGGACGGGUGAGUAACGCGUAGGAAUCUGUCCAAAAGUCUGGGACAACACGAGGAAACUCGUGCUAAUACCGGAUGUGCUCUACGGAGUAAAGGCGGGAGCAAUCCUGUCGCUUUAGGGUGAGCCUGCGUUGGAUUAGCUAGUUGGUAGGGUAAAAGCCUACCAAGGCAUCUAUCCAUAGCUGUUCUGAGAGGAAGAUCAGCCACACUGGGACUGAGACACGGCCCAGACUCCUACGGGAGGCAGCAGUGGGGAAUAUUGGACAAUGGGCGCAAGCCUGAUCCAGCAAUACCGCGUGUGUGAAGAAGGUCUGAGGGUUGUAAAGCACUUUCAGCGAGGAGGAAGUUAAUAUGGUUAAUACCCAUGUUGAUUGACGUUACUCGCAGAAGAAGCACCGGCUAACUCUGUGCCAGCAGCCGCGGUAAUACAGAGGGUGCAAGCGUUAAUCGGAAUUACUGGGCGUAAAGGGUGCGUAGGCGGAUGCUUAAGUCAGAUGUGAAAGCCCUGGGCUCAACCUAGGAAUUGCAUCUGAAACUGGGCGUCUAGAGUAUGGUAGAGGAUGGCGGAAUUUCCGGUGUAGCGGUGAAAUGCGUAGAUAUCGG